rnacentral:rRNA from 1 species
GACGAACGCUGGCGGCGUGCUUAACACAUGCAAGUCGAACGGAAAGGCCCUGCUUUUGUGGGGUGCUCGAGUGGCGAACGGGUGAGUAACACGUGAGUAACCUGCCCUUGACUUUGGGAUAACUUCAGGAAACUGGGGCUAAUACCGGAUAGGAGCUCCUGCUGCAUGGUGGGGGUUGGAAAGUUUCGGCGGUUGGGGAUGGACUCGCGGCUUAUCAGCUUGUUGGUGGGGUAGCGGCUUACCAAGGCUUUGACGGGUAGCCGGCCUGAGAGGGUGACCGGCCACAUUGGGACUGAGAUACGGCCCAGACUCCUACGGGAGGCAGCAGUGGGGAAUAUUGCACAAUGGGCGGAGGCCUGAUGCAGCAACGCCGCGUGCGGGAUGACGGCCUUCGGGUUGUAAACCGCUUUCGCCUGUGACGAAGCGUGAGUGACGGUAAUGGGUAAAGAAGCACCGGCUAACUACGUG